GAGUUUGAUCUUGGCUCAGAUUGAACGCUGGCGGCAGGCCUAACACAUGCAAGUCGAGCGGAUGGCGGGAACUUGCUCCUUGAUUCAGCGGCGGACGGGUGAGUAAUGCCUAGGAAUCUGCCUGGUAGUGGGGGACAACGUUUCGAAAGGAACGCUAAUACCGCAUACGUCCUACGGGAGAAAGCAGGGGACCUUCGGGCCUUGCGCUAUCAGAUGAGCCUAGGUCGGAUUAGCUAGUUGGUGGGGUAAUGGCUCACCAAGGCGACGAUCCGUAACUGGUCUGAGAGGAUGAUCAGUCACACUGGAACUGAGACACGGUCCAGACUCCUACGGGAGGCAGCAGUGGGGAAUAUUGGACAAUGGGCGCAAGCCUGAUCCAGCCAUGCCGCGUGGGUGAAGAAGGCC
rnacentral:rRNA from 1 species